rnacentral:sRNA from 1 species
GAAUGAGCCCCGGUGGCCGAAUGGGUAAUGCGGCCACCUGGUAGCGCCUUGGCGUGGGGACCCAAGGCGCGUGGGUUCGAAACCCACAAGGGGACAACAUUACAUCCGGAGCCAACUUCUCAGCUCCUAAAAUAAAGGGAUGUGAACUUGCCAAGUAGGUACCUUCGGGCGGACCUACUACCUGAUUUAGCUGAUUUUUCCUGGGCUGGGAACCUGUAUUACAUGUACCAAAUCCUGUCUUUCACUAAUUUUCCUAUGUUCCUGUUAUAUUCUUGGCGUCAUUCAACACUAAGCAUUCCUCCUGUAUAACCAACUCUUGCCUGUAUUUAACAUCACACAAGGACUCAUCAUAAGCACUGCUUGCAUACGAGUAUAAGGAAGAAGAAUAAUAAUAAUAAUAAUAAUAAUCUAUCUGAA